UCCCUCUUAGCUCAGUGGUAGAGCGUGUCACUCGUAAUGAUUGUGAUAUGAUGACAAGGUCAGUCGUUCAAUCCGGCUAGCGGGAA